UCCCCGCUCCAACCCCGCGCACGCGCACUUUCCCCCAGACCCGGCAGCCCGUCGCUUGGAGUCAAGGCCGCGGCGUGGAUCGAUUGACGUCUAAAGCCUCAUGGUGCAUGAAGAAGCCCAGAAGCGGAGGAGGAGUCAA